CGCUUGGACUGCAUGGCUCUCUAUUCUCUUUUUUUUUUUUUUUUUUUUGAGACGUAGUUUCACUCUUGUUCUCCAGGCUGGAGUGCAAUGGCGGGAUCUUGGCUCACCGCAACCUCCGCCUCCCGGGUUCAAGCGAUUCUCCUGCCUCAGCCUCCCAAGUAGCUGGGAUUACAGGCAUGCGCCACCAUGCCUGGCUAAUUUUGUAUUUUUAGUAGAGACGGGGUUUCUCCCUGUUGGUCAGGCUGGUCUCAAACUCCCGACCUCAGGUGAUCCACCCACCUCGGCCUCGCAUAGUGCUGGGAUUACAGGCAUGAGCCACCGUGCCCCGUCUAUGGAGACUAUUAUUCUCAGCGAAGUAACUCAGGAAUGGAAAACCAAACAUCGUACGUUCUCACUCAUAAAUGGGAGCUAAGCUAGGAGGAUGCAAAGGCAUAAGAAUGACACAGUGGACUUUGGGGAAUCAGGGGGAAAGGAUGGGAAGGGGGUGAGGGAUAAAAGACUAUUAAUUGGGUGCAGUCUAUAUUGCUUGGGUGAUGGGUGCACACAAAUUUCACAAAUCACCACUAAAGAACUUACUUACGUAACCAAACACCAGCUGUUCCCCAAUAUCCUAUGGAAAUAAAAAUUUUUUUUUAGAAAAAGAGUUCGGUCUUUCUGUAACCUAAUCUUGGAAGUGUAUAUUAUCACUUCUUCCAUAGGCUAUCAGUCUCCCAGACCAACCCUGCUACAGGGUAGGGGAGACUACAUGGUAUGUGAAUACCAGAAAGUGGGGGCCACUGGGGACUGGCUAUUUGGAGGAUGGUUACUACAAACUAUAUUUGUAAUUUUUUUUUUCUUGAGAUGGAGUCUUGCUCUGUUGCCCAGGCUGGAGUGCAAUGGCACGAUCUCAGCUCGCUGCAACAUCCACCUCCUGCGUUCAAGUGAUUCUCCUGCCUCAGCCUCCCGAGU
rnacentral:lncRNA from 10 species